GGUCACACCAACACCUCACCCCAAUGCGAAGAACUGUGCUUGUCAUAUGGCUACGCAAUUUUUUUAUCCUCCAAGUCUGCAAGGACCAUGUUGAGAAGCAGCAGCGGGGGUCUCCUCAGGCCCUGUCCAAGCCCACACAAGUCAAUGAGUGUUCUCCCAUUAAAUUAGGUCCCCAAGGCAGAUGCCUCAAUGACUGAUAACCUUGCAAAUGCGUUACUUUCCUCUGCUGAUUUCAGAAGGCCCAGUUAGCACAGUUAUUUCAAAAGACACUGCUACAGGCAUGAUCUCAACAUUUAAUUACAUAACAUUUUAAUAAGCACUUGAGAGCAUUUGAAUGCGUCUCCCCCCUUUCUGAUUCUUCCAGGUUUGUUUCUCUUAAAAAAAAUCAGCAAACACAGUGCAAACCAGGCUCUAGUUGUUUCCAGCUACUAAAGAUUUCCUUAAAUUUCCCCAAUGAGUACAACCUCUCUGCAUCAGACAGUUCCUCAUUCAUUUUGGGAAGAUACUAGGAGGGAGAGAGAGGGGGAGAAGAAAAGACAGAGGAAAAAAAAACAGAGGCUUAUGUUCCAAAGAUCACUACAGGCCAAAUAUUCUCAGGCACCCUGGCUUUUACAGAGAAAUCCUUAACAGUAUAAAAAUGGAAACACUUCAAAGAUAAAAUAAAUAAUUUAAUAACAGUCUGCUUCUCCAAAGGGUUUUGAACAAGUUUUAGAUUUGCCAGUGAAUGUUCCCCUUAGGCAGUAGGCCAGUGGAAAAAAAGGCACAGUGUGCUUCUUCUUUCGUAAGAUGUACUUUGUGUUAUUUUAUUUCUUGAUAAGAUUCAGAAACAAGUCUUUCCCCUUUAACCCUCCCUCCGAAAGCCAAAGAUGGUGCAAAUGCAAGUGAUCUCUUACAUACAGCACACACCAAAAAAGUUGUUGCAAUAGAUACAACCCCAGCCAGAUUGCAUCUUUUCCUUUCUGCUUGUUUCACUUACUGUCACAUGCUGAGAAGCACCUCAAAUACUACAGUUAGGUACGCUUAAAGAGAAGCCAUUUCAAGACUUCAACUGCCUUCUGUGCAAGUAAGACUCUACAGUAUUUAUAGGCUUGUAAGGAAAAUGCACUAGACUAAAUCGUGGCAUUAGUGGUUGUAACAUUCUUGAUAGGUCAAAGAGGCUGCUAUUCUAGUAAAAAGCAUUUAUUUGGCAAUCACAUGAGCACUGGGAAGGAUAGAGCUGCAUUAAUGUCUUCCUCAGAUUGGCCUCUACAUGCUACCUAGUUUUGUCUCAGUUUUUACACCCUUUCUUGUAAUUACGGAGAAGGGGAAAAAAAGACAGGAGGCUGCUUUGUCAUUUGUUGCUGGAUAUUGUGCUGGUUUUUACUUGUCUUUAAUGAAAAACCUUGCUUUCAGGAAUCCCAGGACCCUGAGAUCUGUAUCAAAGUAUAGAGCAAGGAAACUUGCUGUUGGUACAGUAAGACCAGGUCAGGGAACUUCAAAAAAGCUGAAUAUACAGAAGUCCAUGGGGCCUCAUGGGAUGCAUCCAUGAAUACUUGAAGGACCUGCCCAAUGGCACUGUGAAGCCACUCCCAAUUAUUUUUGAAAGGUCAUGGCAACUGGGAAUGAUUCCUGAGAACUGGAAGAAAGCAAAUGUCACUUUGGUCUUCAAGAAGGCCAAGAAGGAGGAUCUGGGGAAGUACAGGCCAGUUAGCCUUACCUUGGUCCUUGGGAUGAUGAUGGAGCAAAUACUCCUGGAAGCCUUUCCCAAACACAGGAAGGACAAGAAUGUGAUUUGGAAUAGUCAGCAUGGAAUUCUGAAGGGGAAAUCAUGCCUGACCAACCUGACAGCCUUUUACGACGAGGUGACUCGUUUGGCUGAUGAGGGGAGAGCAGUGGAUGUUGUUUAUGUUCAUUUUAACAAGGCUUAUGACAGUAUCUCUCACAACAUCCUAGGUGAUAAGAUGAAGUACAAACUUCAUAAGUGGACAGUGAGGUGGACUGCAAACUGGCUGAGCUGUUGAACUCAAAGCGUGAGCAGCAGCACAAAAUGCAGAUGGAGGACAGUCUCUAGUAGUGUACCCCAGGGGUCAACACAGAGGCUGGUACUCUUCAACACCUAUAUUCAUUGCCUAGACAGAGUGACACUCUCAGAGGGACACUUUGCAGGUGAUAAAAAACUGGGAGGAGUAGCUGUCAUGCUGUCAUUUAGAGGGACCUCAACAGGGUGAAGAAGUAGCCCAACAGGAAUCUCAUGAAGUUCUACAGGGGGAAAUGCCAGCUUCUGCACCUAGGGAGGGACAACUCCAUGCACCAGUACUGUCCAGCCAACUGUCUCAAAAGCAUCUUUGCAGAAAAGGCUCAAGUGUCCAAGUCAAACAUGAGCCAGCAACAUGCUAUUACAGCAAGGAAAGCCAACAGCUUCCUGACCUGCAUUAGGAGGAGGGUCAUCACCAGCAUGUCAAGGGAGUUGAUCCUUCACCUCUGUUUAGCACCAGUGACACAUCUGGUGUGCUGGAUCCUGUUCUGGCCUCCCCAGUACAAAAUAACAUGGGCAUACUGGAGUGAGUCCAUUGAAGGGUCAGAAAGACGAUUAAGGAAUUAGAGCAUAUGAUGUUAGAGAAGAAGCUGCGAGAGCUUGGACUAUUCAGUCUUAAGAAGAGAAGACUCAGGGGUAUCUUAACAAUGUGCAUGUAUACCUGAUGGGGGGGGGUAAAGAACAUGGAGCCACAUUCCUCUCAGAGCUACCCAGUGACAGCACAAGAGGCAAUGGCCAUAAAUCGGAAUACAGAUAAUUCCAUUUAAACUCAAAAAUAUCUUUUUGACAGCGAAGGUGGUCAAACACUGAAACAAGCUGCCCAGAGCAUUUGUGGCCUCUCCUUUGGAGUUAUUAAAAUCCCAUCUAGAAUAGUCCCUGGGCAACCUGCUCUGAGCAGGGGGAUUGGACUAGGUGUUCUCCAGAGGCAUCUUACAGCCUCAGCUCCUCAAUGAUUCUGUGCUGGAUGGGUGUACAAUGCCUCUAUCCAUCACAGAGCACAACUCCACCACAGUGGAUGCAGGGAGCUCUCUCACUAGAAGUGGACCAGCUGCUUCUGUGGUUUUGGGCGUUACAGGCUGUGGUACAGGCUCCAACAAUGACAAUAAUAAAACCAGUCCUUUCCAAUGAUUUCACCACUUCUUUAUUUUAUUCUGUGGUUUUCCCAUGUUAUCCAAGCACAGAUGCCCGUGAUUGCUUUUCCUGCUCCAUUAUCCCUUCUGUGUUAACCUCCUCCCACCCAGCAGCUUUCCUUUACCACGGCAUUCUCGGACAAAUAUGCGAAGUAAAAUUUGCAAGCCGAAUUAUAAUAUACCCAAAUUCAAGGUGGAUAUUUAGGUCCAUACAUUGGCCAAAGGAGUGAGAAUGAGAAGACAUCUGAGCACAAGCAAUGAAUGGUGAAUAACAGGAUGAUGACAACCACACAUGGCGUCUGAGUCCUUUCUCAGGGAUGUUAAUAUAGUGCAGGAGGACCUUCUUGCAGACAACCAGACCCACGGCACUGGAGCUGUCAGAGCAGGAGGCCCAUGGGCUUCAGCAACAGCAGCUUUGGGAAGAAAGAGGCUGGAUUGUGGCAAAAGGAAAUGAGAGGACUGGACUAAGAAAUUUGGCCUUGGCAUUGAUCCGGAUUUACAUGGAUGUAGCAGCGCAGAACUGAGCUUGCCGUCUGUCUCUUUUUCAUGCACUCACAUCACGAUUCAGGAUUUUGUUCUGACUUCAAAGCAAAUGUGUUCAGAAUCAAGGAACAUUCCUCAAACACAAAACAAACAAAAAGCUGGAAGAAGAAUAAGACAGAUGACGCCGUCAAAUGAAAGGAAGAGCAGAGCAGCAUUCUACAGCUUGAAUAGAAAAGUGAUGGCUAAAAUAGUCAUGUCUAGUACACGUCCAGUACCGGGGCUGGAUCCCAAGGGACAUUGUGUGCAGACAUACAAUACAAAGAUUGUUAUGAACAAGGAUUACUUCACCACCUCCUGCAGCCGCUUCAGAAGUGAGUUAAAGUUCUAAGGGAUCCUUCUCAAGAUGGAGAGAUUGGAAGACCAGAGCUGCACACUGUAUAAAAGAUGUGAUCAAACACCUUCUCUUCGACAUGCAAUUUUUGGAAAGCUUUCAUUUUCCUCUCAAGCGCUCCUAUCUGAGACACCCGGUAAGUUGCUGGCAACACUGGACAGUAUUGCUGGAAUCUUGAUAAGCUUAAAUUUAACAACUGGGCACAUUCUUGGGAUCUCUGUAAUUGAAAGAGUCUGGUUACAGCAAACAAAGAGAAGAAAGGAUAAUUUUCUCCGCUGGCAUGGUUUUAUGUCUUUAUAUUCUUGGUUGUUCCUUUUUGAAACUUAAAUCAAAUGAAAUGUGCCCUUUCAUGAUGCAUUUUUAACAUGCUGAUAUAAUUCCUUAAGUACAAUAUUCAUGGCACCAAAACGCUCUUCGGCAUUAAUUACUGUGACAGCGACAUAGACUUCUUUGUCAAAUGCCUUUCCAGUUUAGCUGGUCAAGGCUCCUUUUAAUCAUUCAUACUCUCUUCACAGUAAUUCCUGCUAAGCUUGUGACGCAGCCUGAACCCACUGGACGGGCCAGGUUACAUCAUAGAAGAGCAGAAAUACAAAACUCUUCAGGUCUGAAGCCUGCUUUGGAGACAGACACUAUGCAAGAACCUUGUCAGGGUGAGCGCAAACCACAUCCUUUCAAAUUUGUUCUUGCUAAUAAGAAGUAAUAAGACCGGCUGUAAUUUAUGUGCACCAGUUGGUCAUGAUUUUCUUUAUACAAACAGCCAACAUAUGCUUUCAGUCUAACAUCACCUAGUUCAAAGAAUACAAUAAACCAGAACAAAUGUCAAAGGACCACGAGCAUCAGCUCAGCAAGUGUGUCUUGUGUGUAGCAGGAGGUGGCCAUGCCAAGGUACCAAUGACAGCCUCUUGCCACAUAGGCAGAGAUCUUGGAGAUGCAGAGGGGAGGUGCGCGGAAGACGAGAUGCUGUAAUUUCAGCCAGAGCCUAGAGCAAUCUCUCUCUCCUUCCAUUAUGGAAUGAUAAUCACUACCAUACAGUUCUUAAACUUUAGGCAGUAACAAUAAGGCCAAGAUCAGUUUUGUGCCAAGGUCACUUUU